UUGAAACAAGAAACUGGAAACACUCUGUUACUGGUGCAUGCAGUGAAACCUAUUUCGCCUUUCCUCUUCUAGAUAAAAGAAUCAUUCAUAGUCAUUUUCAUUGCCGAAGCACACACUUGUACACUCACAGUUGGAUUUUUGCCUGCGAAGA